CUUGCACCCAUUUGCCACAGCAGAUGCCCCCGAUUUUUGGUCCACCAGUCUGCAGAUCGAAGCAUCCUUGGAGUAAUUCAAACAGCAGAGAUUAUAUCUGACCAAACCAAAUAUCCCAUCAACCUGAAGGCACUGUGGGGAAAUUACAUUACUGCUUUGGAAACCAGGGACACGCCAUCCAUCUUACCCCAACCAUAUGCAAGUCUCCCAGUUGGUAUGUAUAUGAGUGGGCUGAUUUGGUCUUCUCACACAUACAGGCUCUGCCAUAUAUAGUUAAUCAUAAAAAAAAACCCAGUGUGCAUGCUCACAGUAUCAGGUUUAUGCCUUUUCGUCACCUGUAUUUGUAUCCUCUGUGUGUUUACUCAGCACAUCAUGUUAGUCUCUCACCUCUGGCUAAUUCUCACACCCUGCUGAUGAAUUCCAUAGCGGUGCACGCCGGGUUGUAAAUCGCAUAAGCCAGAGAAUAAAUACAGGCAGUUUCAUGGUUUUCAUGCUCGCUCAGCAAGUUUUAUUUGAAAGCAAAAGCCAUGGUGAACACAUGCAUGAAAAAUAGAUUUGAAAACCCUCACAGAGCACGUGGUAGUCUUUUGUGCUGUUACUUGACCUGGAAUUUUAGAUUUUGUCUGCCAUCAAAGUGGGAAAAGAUGUUGUUGCUUUACCACCCAAUCACAUUUGACCUAAAAGAUAUGAUUUGAUGAAAGUUAAUUCCUCAUGGGCAUCCAGCCAGAAUGCAAAGAAAACAGCCGUCAGUGAUUUUGCAGUGGGUUAAUUUUCCUUUAAAUCAUCAACAGUAGCUUAACUUAACAAAGGAAGACUCACAUGGGCUGCUAAACUGUGAAAGAGAAAACAGGGUUGUCUUUAAGUCAUUAACUUAGAAGGGUAAAAAGUUGUUUUUUUUUAAAAAUCAGAAGAAUAAAGGAAACUCACCUUAGCUGCAGUUCUUAUAUAAUGUGCUCCAGGUGAGUUCAGUUAAGGGACAAAGAAACCCAGGAAACCAAUCAGCGAUGAGAAAACCUUGAAACAAAUUGAGGUAAAGAUGGCGAGCUGUGGGAGAGCGAGUAAAGGGUUAAUAAAAGUAAGAAUUUUUACUAUAUUAAACUUAAAAAAUUAAAAGAAAAUAAAGAAAGUUGGAGCGAUGUAAUCUACUUUUCUAUUUUAAUCUAGAAGUUUCAAAAUUUAGGAAAACAAAAGAUAAUAAUAAAAACGUUGGCCAACAUCUGUAUAGGAUUAGGGUUAUAUCGCCCACCUGUUGUUUGGAUAUGCUCUUGACAUUUUUUAUUUUUUUCUUAGUUUUCAUGGAGACAAAUUAAUGUGAACAAAAAACUAUCCCUGCUUUAUAAAAUACACGUGUAACCUAAUAGGAUUUAUCCUAAUCUUUGCCACCAAUUGGAUAUAAAACUUCAACUAUACGUCAAAAAAUUUUCUUUUGGUAAAUAAGUCUGUGGUCCAUGAAUAAAAAUGAAGUGACUGUUUGAAAAAAGUUAAUCUGCUCAUAUAGCAAAAGUCAUACAUAUCAUCUUUUUAUCAAUAAUGAUAUGCAAUAACUAACAACAUGCAGAUUUAAUGCAGACUCUCCUUUAUGAGUUUGCAAAUUUAUGAAAGGAAAAACACAAAAAGAAAGGAGUUUAUUGCAUUACAAGAACUAACCUUUAAAUGUCAGAUGAAAUAAGACCUCACUGUAACAACAGACACUACUGAUGUAAACAAAUACAGUCCAGUAAAUUUAAUCCAAGACAAGCAGGAAAAUGAUUACUUUUAAACUUUAGGGGUAACAGAAAGUAUGCACAUUUUCACAUGUGUAUCAGCUUUCCAGAAAGGACCAGAUAUUGGCAGCAAAAAAAAAAGUUAACUAACUUUCCUGUGGCUAAGCGUUGUUGCUUUUGCCAUUGUUAGCUGCUGUUAGCCUCCGCUAGCUGUUAGCUGGCAUUAGUCAAACCUUCUUUGAAGUGGACAUAACAUUAUCACUCAUACUGUAAGCAAAUAAACUGGUAUACAAUCAGAGAAUGUAAUCAAAUUUUUUACCAGAGGGAAAGUGUGAUUUAUUUAUUUUUUUCGGACAGCUAACAUUAGCUUGCCUAAUGCUAACUGUCAGCUGUCAGGAGGCCAUGUCUAAUCAACUAAAAAUAAGUAAUAACUCUUGUAUGUAUUGUUAAUUGUUUACUUACAAGUUCAUGAGAGUGUAUCAAUGUGUUGAAAAAUAUAAUUACAUACUAUUCUCUGUAUAUUUAUAAGUACCGUAUAAUUUCUUCUGUUGAAUAAUGUAAAAAAAAAAUUGACUGCAGUUUUAAAGAGUGUUCCUGUUUGAGAAAUAAAAUUAUCUGCAAUUAUGUGACUCUAAUUAACUGAUGUAAGGUUUAUUCCUGAGUCAAAAUGGUCCUUUGUGGCUUACUAUGCACUGCAUGGACUAAAGGCUUUAAGUCUUUGUUACUUAACAGAUGUCUAUGGGUGUUUAUUUUAACCUUACCUUAUUGUUAUUUGAUGAAGAAAUUUUAUUUUAGA